rnacentral:lncRNA from 1 species
UGGUUACAACUAUGCCAAAACAAACCAUCUCACAAAGCAUUAUAAACAUCUUGCAAAAGUCAUUAACAACCAUUUCUAAUAGCCAAACACAUAUCAAUAUCAACAUCAUUCACAAGCCAAAUAUCAUGGCUAUAAUUAUAACCAAAAUACCACAUCUAGCUUAUACAUUCCAUAUACCAUAAUUGUAUAAUUCAAAAGUACCAACUUAGAUGUUUGAUAGUGCGAUGAUGUUCCUGACAACUCC